rnacentral:rRNA from 1 species
UACGUAGGAUGCAAGCGUUGUCCGGAUUUAUUGGGUUUAAAGGGUGCGUAGGAGGCCUAUCAAGUUAGUGGUGAAAAUGUUCGGCUCAACCGGAUACCCGCCAUUGAUACUGAUAGACUUGAGUGCGACAGAGGGUGUUGGAAUGUGUGGUGUAGCGGUGAAAUGCUUAGAUAGCACGCAGAACACCAAUUGCGAAGGCAGAUGCCUAUGUCGUAACUGACGCUGAGGCACGAAAGCGUGGGGAGCAAACAGG